rnacentral:lncRNA from 1 species
CUUGACUGAGCAGUUGGGUUCCAGCGGAAAGACUAUCCAUGAGCUGGAGAAGGUCCGAAAGCAGCUGGAGGCCGAGAAGAUGGAGCUGCAGUCAGCCCUGGAGGAGGCCUCCCUGGAGCACGAGGAGGGCAAGAUCCUCCGGGCCCAGCUGGAGUUCAACCAGAUCAAGGCAGAGAUCGAGCGGAAGCUGGCAGAGAAGGACGAGGAGAUGGAACAGGCCAAGCGCAACCACCUGCGGGUGGUGGACUCGCUGCAGACCUCCCUGGACGCAGAGACACGCAGCCGCAACGAGGCCCUGAGGGUGAAGAAGAAGAUGGAAGGAGACCUCAAUGAGAUGGAGAUCCAGCUCAGCCACGCCAACCGCAUGGCCGCCGAGGCCCAGAAGCAAGUCAAGAGCCUCCAGAGCUUGUUGAAGGACACCCAGAUUCAGCUGGACGAUGCAGUCCGUGCCAACGACGACCUGAAGGAGAACAUCGCCAUCGUGGAGCGGCGCAACAACCUGCUGCAGGCUGAGCUGGAGGAGUUGCGUGCCGUGGUGGAGCAGACAGAGCGGUCCCGGAAGCUGGCGGAGCAGGAGCUGAUUGAGACUAGUGAGCGGGUGCAGCUGCUGCAUUCCCAGAACACCAGCCUCAUCAACCAGAAGAAGAAGAUGGAUGCUGACCUGUCCCAGCUCCAGACUGAAGUGGAGGAGGCAGUGCAGGAGUGCAGGAAUGCUGAGGAGAAGGCCAAGAAGGCCAUCACGGAUGCCGCCAUGAUGGCAGAGGAGCUGAAGAAGGAGCAGGACACCAGCGCCCACCUGGAGCGCAUGAAGAAGAACAUGGAACAGACCAUUAAGGACCUGCAGCACCGGCUGGACGAAGCCGAGCAGAUCGCCCUCAAGGGCGGCAAGAAGCAGCUGCAGAAGCUGGAAGCGCGGGUGCGGGAGCUGGAGAAUGAGCUGGAGGCCGAGCAGAAGCGCAACGCAGAGUCGGUGAAGGGCAUGAGGAAGAGCGAGCGGCGCAUCAAGGAGCUCACCUACCAGACGGAGGAGGACAGGAAAAACCUGCUGCGGCUGCAGGACCUGGUAGACAAGCUGCAGCUAAAGGUCAAGGCCUACAAGCGCCAGGCCGAGGAGGCGGAGGAGCAAGCCAACACCAACCUGUCCAAGUUCCGCAAGGUGCAGCACGAGCUGGAUGAGGCAGAGGAGCGGGCGGACAUCGCCGAGUCCCAGGUCAACAAGCUGCGGGCCAAGAGCCGUGACAUUGGCACGAAGGGCUUGAAUGAGGAGUAGCUUUGCCACAUCUUGAUCUGCUCAGCCCUGGAGGUGCCAGCAAAGCCCCAUGCUGGAGCCUGUGUAACAGCUCCUUGGGAGGAAGCAGAAUAAAGCAAUUUUCCUUGAAGC